CUGAAUUUCCCUUUGCGUUACAGCUCUCAAUUUAACGACUAAUCAAAUUAUAUCGAUGUAGGAUCUAAGUAAUGACCUGGAGACAGGUUGUGAGACGGUUUCUAUCAGAGCGGUACUUUUACUGGCGCCCUUUCGGAGACAAAGAAUUUGUCCGCGGCGAUAGCGACUCGUGAUCAGUAAAGACACACUCGUGUUGCCAACUGCAGGUAUGGCGAGAUGGUGGGGAGGAAAACGACAUUGUAAAGCCCGACUGGCGAGGCAUGUUCCUUACUCCUUACAUUCAGCCGCGUUCAGCUGUAUGUAAGUACGCGGACAAGAUCUAGCCAGCUGCGGCCUUCUUCGACCUUCCCCCCACCAGGCCGGAAUCGAGCCUUCUGGCCAGCUACACGAACCGGUACGCCAGCGUUCUAACAAGGAACAUCCGCGAAGACUCCGCCUUCGAUCUUCGUGAGACGCUAUCUCGUCAGGACAGUCGAAAACGGGCCACCUUUGUAAUACCUCGUCUCUUUGCGCUUUUAUGGUAUGUUGAUGAUAGUAAAAUGAAAACUUCAUUUUGUUACGUGAAGUAGAGUGUAGUAAUAGGACCAUAUAACGGAUAUGAAUGUAAAUAAAUCGCGGAAAAGACAAUAUACAGUUGGUGACCAUCAGAUAAACUACGAGUGUCUCGCCCUUCUCUGCGGGGUGUGUAUAUUUUAGGGCUUAGGGGAACGAUCCAUGUCGAAUUCGAAGCACGUCCUUCUCUGUCGACGUUAAUUAACAUGACAUAUGCUCUUGCACAUAUUUCAGCUUCGUGCUAUGGUAACCCCUAACGCUAUGCAAUUGCACUGUUGAGAACAAUGAAAUCUAUUUAAAAAGCUGUAAUGAA